UGAGUUGCCCUCCACACAUUCUAAAAAUAACACUAGUCACCAUGAAAUUCCUUAUAAAAAUUAUAGUUGCUGUUCUUUUUAAAUCAAAAAUACUUACAUUAAUGCAGAUUUUAAAUUACAAUAUUUAUUAUAAUUUAAAAAAAAAAAAAAAAAAACGUCUUCGGUGUUAUUUUCACCUUGUCCGAGUCACAGUUCACUGCGCAUGUCAAAGCAUCACGUCACUGCUGCAGCGUCCGGACGCAGACACUUCGGGAAGCUAGAUGUGGUUUUUACCCCGAAAACAUGACAGAGAAGUGAAAGAGAAAACACUAUUUUCACGAUGACUGUGAGGAAGAGUUCUUUUUCAAGACAGUGAAAGAUAAAUGUAUGUGUCCUAUUUGCGGGGCGACUAUUGCGUCGGCAAAGCGGCACAAUGUGGACAGACGCGACUUUAGCCGCUACAAAGCUUCCAUGCUAACUAGCCACCUGCUAGCGCAUAGACUGUAUGCGCACUACGGACAGGAAAAGCCCCGCGGACUUAAAGGCAGCUUUGGCAUCUGCUACGCGACGAAAAGUUUCUUCGUGGAGAAAAAUGUACCAUUAAGAAAAGCUUGUUUAGUGAUGACUGACGGGGCUCCUCCAUGACGGGUCGGCAUGCAGGCUUCAUUGUACGAUGCAGAGGUGAUCCAGACUUCCCAACAUUCCUACAUUACCACUGCAGCAUUCACCAGCAGGACAUAUGUAUGUACAAAAGUGGCCGGAUUUGAUCAUGUGAUGACUCCUGUCGUAAAGAUCAUAAAUGGCUCCAAAGCCAAACAACCAGGACAUUGAAGGUGCUGCUGGAGGAGCUGUCAGCUGAACAUGGUGACCUGUUACUACACACAGAAACCCCAUGGAUCAGCAGGGGAACAGUUUUGCAGCGUUUUUUGUCACUGUUGGCCGAAAUCAAAGAGUUCAUGCAGUCCAAAGGUGAAGACACCUCGCUGCUUGGGGACACUGAGUGGAUUCUUGCCGUUGCAUUUUUAACGGACAUCACUGGGAAACUGAACCAUCUGAACUGUAAACUGCAAGGUAAAGGUUUCCCAGAGACUAUGGGUUGAGGAGGAAUUGGAAGUUUGUCGGCUUAGACCUGGUGUCAUUCCAUCAGUGUUAAACUUCCCGGCUCAUCUUGGAAGAGUACGUGCCAGAAAGACCACGACCAAGCAGCCUUGAGAUCUUAGGCAGCGUCUCCCUCAGGUCCCUCUCUAUCUCCCCACACAUCCACCAACCACUGGAACACAUCUCCAAAGUUCUGCCGGGCCAGCUCAGCUUCCCCUCAGAAGAAGUGCUGCCACCUGCCAGAUGAAGGAGCCUUUUGAGAGGCAGCUGGCAUCGUGAUUGGACUGUACUUUGGUCUGUUCCAAUCCAGCUUCAGCUCCAGAGACAGCAGGCAGGACGAGUCAACGGAGGCCGGGUGGACGAAGGCAUGCAGCUGAGUACAAUCCAGAAAACAACAGAGGAGGAGUGCAGUGACCUAGAGCCAGAACAACCAGAGUAGCAUCGUAUGUCUCUUAGAAAACAUCAUAGUAUAGCCUUUGGUAUGAAAAAACACCAUCAUAUACAUCGUAUAUUGUACAAAUAACAAGUCAAAGGAAUCAGACAUACAUUGUGGAAUUGUAGUAAUUGUGGCCUGACUGAUUUACUGAUUAUCAGUAUUUUAUUUUUUACUGAUUUACGGUAAUAAAUACAUUUAAAAAUGGUCCUACUUUGGCUCUGAACCUUUAUCUUCUGGAGUGGUUUGAUUGGUUAUAUGUCA